AGAUUACAGAGUUCGAAAAUGAAACUGAGACUUUUGUACCAAAACUAAGACGGACUAAAAGUAUUCUGAUGAAAGACACAGAUCUGGAAGAUUCUGAGCUAUUUGAUUCGUCAUCAGAGAGUGCAGAUGACUACGUACCAGGUACCAAAAGUGACAGUGAUCCGGAUAGCUCAAUAGGCCCCCCUGUCUGCGAUUCUACAACACCAGACAACAUGAUUUUGGACAGUCACAACAUUACACCUGAAGCCCCCAGAGCAGUAGAAGAACCCUGUUCAAGUCAGACCAUAAACGACAGCGUCGUUGUCAGUUCAUUUAAAAAAAAAGGUGGGAAGGGUGUGUAUGACAAAAAACAUUAUUGCUUGUAUUGCAGUAAGCCUAUUUCAAAAAUUGCAAGGCAUCUAGAGCGUGCACAUGAAGAUAAAUCAGAUGUGGCUAAAGCUCUAAGCUUUCCAAAAGGUUCCAAAGAGAAAAAAAGACACCUGGAUUAUAUUGGCAACAGAGGAAACUUUGCUCACAAUGCAGCAGUUAUGGAGUACGGAAAGGGUAAACUCGUGCCACGACCGCCUAAAGGGUUGGAUGAAAUUGGAAUAGAUCCAAAUGAACCACAUACAGAGGAGACAUUUCCUCAUACCGAAAGGGAUGAAAUGCUGCCACAACCACCCAAGAGACAAAAUCCACACUCAUCAAGGGAUG